GCAAGUAUGACCUUCUGUUUAAGAACCACCCCAAGAGUUGCGAAGGCCUUCUCCGCCUCUGUCAACCAGUACUCUACUUCUUCAAAAGUGGAUGCCCCUGCAAAAGUAGAUGGGUUAAGUCUCUUGUACCUCUUAAUAUAGCCUGAGUCCAUCACGGGUGAAACUGAGUCCUAUGGAAGAGGGACUGGAUUAAGUUGGGGAGGGACCAG
rnacentral:lncRNA from 1 species